rnacentral:rRNA from 1 species
GACGAACGCUGGCGGCGUGCUUAACACAUGCAAGUCGAGCGGAAAGGCCACUUCGGUGGUACUCGAGCGGCGAACGGGUGAGUAACACGUGAGUAAUCUGCCCCUGGCUUCGGGAUAGCCACCGGAAACGGUGAUUAAUACCGGAUAUGACCACGUCUCGCAUGGGGUGUGGUGGAAAGUUUUUCGGCCAGGGAUGUGCUCGCGGCCUAUCAGCUUGAUGGUGAGGUAAUGGCUCACCAUGGCUUCGACGGGUAGCCGGCCUGAGAGGGUGACCGGUCACCCUGGGACUGAGACACGGCCCAGACUCCUACGGGAGGCAGCAGUGGUGAAUAUUGGACAAUGGGCGGAAGCCUGAUCCAGCAACGCCGCGUGAGGGAUGACGGCCUUCGGGUUGUAAACCUCUUUCAGUACCGACGAAGCGCAAGUGACGGUAGGUACAGAAGAAGCACCGGCCAACUACGUGCCAGCAGCCGCAGUAACAC